AGGAACCACUUGAGAAGGAGAGCAGUUGGGCCCUCAGGGAACCUAGCAUGCAGCUUGUCUUGGCUUUCCUUGACCAUUCCUUGCUGAAUUUCCACCUUCCCUGUUCACCCUGCUGGAGCCUGGUCCAGAAAAAGCAGCCCCGACCUGCCCUUUCUCCCUGUGCACAUAUGUGAGAAAUUCCCCAGGGUACCUACCUAUGAUUGAAGUUGCUGGAUCAACAGGAGUUUCUUCACAUGGCUUCCGAAGUGACCGUUACAGUUCGCCUCAUUCGUUCAUUCGAGCAUCGCAAUUUCAGACCUGUAGUGUAUCACGGAGUUAAUUUGGAUCAAACUAUAAAGGAGUUUAUAGUAUUUCUAAAGCAAGAUAUCCCUUUAAGGACCAGCCUGCCACCACCAUUCAGAAAUUAUAAAUAUGAUAAACUAAAGAUUAUUCAUCAAGCACAUAAAUCAAAGACUAAUGAACUUGUGUUGAGUUUGGAAGACGACGACAGACUCCUGUUGAAAGAAGACGGCACUCUGCAAGCAGCUGGAAUCGCUUAUUCUGAACCUAUUAUUACCGUACUGAAGAGCUGUAUGAUGUAUUAGUUUCUCAAAAGGGGUGCAGAUAAAUGUCAACUGCAGUAAGUGGACAUUCUAAUUACAGUUCGCCUGUAUGGAGCCAACUGCCGUGUGGGCAAAGCAUCAUGUGAAGCCAAUGAAACUGAAAUUGCAUUCUUCUGUGAAGAAGAUUAUAAGAACUUCAAAGCUAAUCCCGUUUCAUCCUGGUGAAAACCUCACGAGGCUUCCUUUUUGCAUACCUAUAUUAAGCUCUUUAUUCCACUAGUGAGUUUUGAAAUUGACAAAUAAACCUAAAAAAUUAAUCC